rfam:Sorghum bicolor cultivar BTx623 chromosome 2, whole genome shotgun sequence.
GUAGUCGGAUUCACAUCAAUUCACAUGUGUUGGGGUGGAUUGGAGUGUAACUUAAACUAAAUUCCACCUCAAUCCAACUCAACACAUGUGGAUUGAGUUAAAUACGACA